rnacentral:rRNA from 1 species
AUUAAAAACCGAUGCCCUCUAGGCUUACAGGUGAUUCAUGAUAACUUCUCGAAUCGCAUGGCCUUGCGCCGGCGAUGGUUCAUUCAAAUCUCUUCCCUAUCAACUUUCGAUGCGAAGGUCUUGUCUUCGCAUGGUUACAACGGGUAACGGAGGGUUAGGGCUCGAUCCCGGAGAAGGAGCCUGAGAAACGGCUACUACAUCCAAGGAAGGCAGCAGGCGCGCAAAUUACCCAAUCCCGACACGGGGAGGUAGUGACAAAAAAUACUGAUACAGGGCUCUUUUGGGUCUUGUAAUUGGAAUGAGUACAAUUUAAAUCCCUUAACGAGGAACAAUUGGAGGGCAAGUCUGGUGCCAGCAGCCGCGGUAAUUCCAGCUCCAAUAGCGUAUAUUAAAGUUGUUGUGGUUAAAAAGCUCGUAGUUGAACCUUGGGCCUGGCUGGCCGGUCCCCCUCACCGGGUGCACUGAUCCAGCCGGGUCUUUCCCUCUAUGGAACCCCAUGGCCUUCACUGGUCGUGGC